AUUAAUUACAACCAAUCCUAAUUUACUUUCUGCAAAACAAUUAAAGCAUAUUUAAUAUACUUUCCUCCUUCUCUCGAUUAUUUCCAAACUAAUUACCUGCAAAAAUUCAAACCAGUUACAUUCAGCCAUUACUAUAGAAAAAUACAAACAACAAUACAAAACAAUAAGGUGGGGGUAUUGGAUUUAGAAAUUUGAUAGAAUUAGAAGGAAUUAUAGUUUCCAUUAAAUUCCACUGUUAUUCAAUUAUUGAUUUCAUAAAUUCUUUUAAAUUCUUGUGUUAUUGGAUUAAGCAUUUGUAAUCAUUUUUUUAGUUACUUUAAAUUCUGUUGUUAUUCAAUAUUUGAUAGAUUUUGUAGUAAUGUUAUUUGAUAAGAAUUUAAUGGAAAAUUUCCAUCAAAAUACAAAGAACCAAUUCUUUGCUUUUGUGGGGAGAUUUGUUAUGCUCGUGUGAAAACACAAUAAUAACAUCUCUCUGUACUUUCAUUUGUCAAAAAGUACGUUAAAAUCUCAACAAACCAUUUUUAAAAAACGUUUUUUUUAUUUAUCAUACUCAACCAUAUAGCAACGAAUCCCUAUAAAAUAGUUCUUAUCUUUUUCUUAAAAAAACAAAACCUAGAUCACUUCUCUUAUAUAUACAUCACUGCGUAUCCAGUCAUUCUCAAAGUAAAAAAAAUCAUCAAGAAAAAGUAUAGUUUUCCCAAAAGUUAAACUACUAGUUUUUGUUUCUGUUAUCAUUACUUCAUGGCGUUUUUUCCAGUAGUCUCCAAUAGUUUUUGUCUAUCAUGAGUUUUUAUUUCUGUAUUUUAUAUGUUUAUAAUCACUUACGUGUGUAUAUAUCAUAUAAUCUGAUUUUAUAUGAAUGUGAAAGAUGACUAAUAAAAGUAUAUUAUUUCUGUAUUAGGAUGGAAACUGGAGAACCGUCACUACCAAAAAAAGCUAGAGCUGGAUAUCUGCAAUGGACAUCUCAAGAGAGUCAAUUGUUGAUGCGCCUUCUAGUUGAUGGUAUCAGGCGGGGAUGGCGUGAUUCAAAUGGCUCCAUGACCAAAACAACAGUCGAGGCGAAGAUAUUACCGGUUCUAAACAAACAGCUUCGAUGCAAUAAGAGUUACAAGCAUUACACAAAUCGAAUGAAAUCUUUGAGAAAAGAAUAUAAUGGUUAUGCUGAGCUUUUGCGAUGUAGCUCUGGUUUUGGCUGGGACCCUAUCACAAAACGAUUCACAGCUCCAGAUGAAGUAUGGAAAGAAUAUUUUAAGGUAAUUUUUGUAACUCCUCUUCAAAGUUUUAUUAACUUUUUAAAUUUUUCUUUUUAAAAAAGUUUCACUUUGAUAUUUCAUAUUUUCACCAGGGACAUCCAAACUCUGAAAAUAUGCGGGACAACACUUUUGAAGAUUUUGAAGACUUACAAAUCAUUUUUGAAAGUGCUACAGCAAGGGGAAACAACUCAUUUGGACUCGGUGAUGAUGCAAAUGCUGAAGCUUUUGAAGUUGAGAAUGAUUUUCAAGAAAAAGAAGAUGAGAUUCAUACAGAGAAUGUCUAACCAUUAUUAAUAUUUAUCUUUUAUACAUUUUAGGUAAAUUCUAUCUAGUUGAUUGUGGCUUUGCAAAUCGAGUCAAUUUUUUGGCUCCAUUUCGUGGUGUUCGAUACCAUCUACAAGAAUGGACUGGCCAAGGACGUGAUCCUAGCACUGCAUCCGAAUUAUUCAAUCUUCGUCAUGCUAGUUUGAGAAAUGUGAUCGAAAGGAUAUUUGGAAUGUUUAAAUCGAGGUUUGCGAUCUUUAAAUCUGCACCUCCUUUUUCUUACAAAAAACAAGCUGGAUUAGUAUUAGCAUGUGCAGCGUUGCAUAACUUCCUUCGUAAAGAAUGCCGAUCAGAUGUUGCUGAAUUUCCUGCUGAAGAAGACACUCAACAAUCUGCAACGACUACGAAUCAAGUUGUUCAAGAGCCUUUAGGAACACAAGAGCAAGAUAGAGAAAAUGCAAAUACUUGGAGAAAGACUAUAGCAGAAGAUAUGUGGAGAGAUGCUACGAGUUAAGAUGAUCCAUAGAUUUUAUUUAUUAGUUUUAUGAUUUUAUAAUAAAAUUGCUACACUCAAUAAAAUAUUGUAGUACUUAUUAUUAUUUUUCUUUCAGUUUUAAUAUUAAUAAAUAUUUUAUUCGUGAAAUUUUUAAAAUAUACAUUUCAACAGUUUUAGUAUUCUAUCAAAUUUAUGUAUACUCCUUUAAAAUCCAUCAUAAAAAGAAUUGGAUGAAUGCAUUAAAAUCUCAUCAAUUCUUUUAAAAUACUGCAGAAGCUUUUACUUAUGAAUUCAUUCAAAUUCAAUUACAUUCCUGGAUCCAAUACCAAGGUUCCAAUUUCUAAAUCACCACAAAUAUCACACCAGUCGAAACUCAUCUAAUCUACAAAACAAUUACAUAUUACGUACAAGCAUUAAUAUUUUUGUGUCGAUUUUUUCAGACCAACUACAUUCAAUAAUUCAAACCGUUAGUUUCAGGCAUUAUUUGAAAACAUACAGACUAUACACCCUAAAAAAUACAGUUGAUACCCUAAAUCACUACAGUCUAACUUUGAGCAGCACAGCCACUAAACCUUAACAUACCUACAAACCAUAAGUUUUAAGAAAGAGUUGUUAUAUGAAAAAUUCAAUUAUAUAAUCUAUACUAUUUAGUAAAAUAAAUUCGUGGAGAUUUUAUAUUAGUGUAAUGUGAAAAAUUAACACUAUAAAUUUUCACUUAAAAAUGCUUUCCUAUAUAACUUACUAUAAUAUAUAUAUAUAUAUAUAUAUUAUAUUUUCUGAUAUUUACUGCUUACUAUUUUAAAAAUCAUUUUGAUAUUAUUAAAAUCUUUAACAAUCUAUAUAACAACUUUUAGAAAUAAAAAUUAAGUUGCGAUUCUCCUAAAAUAUAGUAACCAAAUUUUGAGUUAUCAUUAAAUUAGCCAUAAUAUUAGGCAUAUCACAUAUGCCAUAUUCACUAACCAAAAUCAGUGCAUAAUAAAUAAUUUUAACAAUAUAUAUAAGAUUCUCCUAAAAUAUGGCAACCAAAUUAAAGAAAAUCAUCAAAGCCAACAAUAAAUUUAGGCAUAUGGCAUAUUCUUGAUUCAGCUGGCCACGAUUUCCACAUUUUUCACGGCUUAAAUUGAAAACACUCACAAUACCUCAUUCUUAAUAUAAAUAUAGAGCAUGCUCCCAUCGACAAGGUCACAAACCACAGACCUCACGAAAGAACUUAUGGCUUCUAUUAUGAAAUUUUCGGCUAUUAAGGAUUUGAAGCCUUGGAAAACAACAUGGGCAGUGCAUGUUAAGGUCUUACACACAUGGAAACAACAAACAGGCGACACCAUGGAGAUCAUCUUAGCAGAUGAGAAUGUAAGAUUUAUAUUUGACUUAUAUUUUGACCUGUUUGUCUAAAGUAAUAAAAGUCGCACCAUUUUCGAAUUCAUGUUUCAUGUUCGUUCUAACCAAUUUCAUUCCUAUUUUUAACAUGGAAAAGGGUCGAAAAAUCACUGCAACAUGCAAAAUGACUUACAUUGAGAAAAGGCUACUUCCGGUUGGUGCAUGGUGAAACAUCCAGGACUUUAACCUGACUCCUGCAAGAGGAUAACAUCGAUCAACAGAUCAUGCAUACAAGAUGGUGUUUUCUCAAACCACAGCCAUUAAUCGGUCCAAUACAUUAAUGACGAUUUGUAUCUUUGUUUUGAUGACUUACAGACAGUUUUAUCUGAACCGCUUGAUGAAAUUUUCUUAGUAGGUGAAUAUAUAAUUCUUUUGACAUUUAACUUUAUAUUAGAAAGGUAAAAAUACUAAUCUAUUAUAAUAUUUUCUUGGUUGUUCAGAUGUGCUAGGACAUGUUUUGGAUUGUCAAUUCAAUUUACCGGUGGCAAGGAAAGAAAGAAACUUGAGUUCACCCUUCGUGGCAUCAAGUAAGGAUUCGUAUAAUUCAAUUUGUAUAUAUUUAGUAAGUUUGUUAUUUUAAGAUUUGUUAUUGAUUAUUGAUAUGUUGAUAGUGAUGUUCGGUUACCAUGUUGCCUAUGGUGUAACUUGGCCGAGCUUCUCUACUCUUCUUUCAAAGAAGAAGAUGGAAUGGUGGUUUGUUGUUAAGCUGGGCUAAAAUUGUAAGGUUUAGAGGUGACAAUUUCAUCUACACAUUUUUUUAUACUAUCUAUAUUUAUCAAAAUUUGACUAACGUUAACUGAACCUGUUAUAUAAUUUCAGGACAACUUCAAAUCUCUAACGCAUUUGACGCUUCUCAAGUGUUGAUCAAUCCGGCAAUACCACAAGUAGAUGAAUUUAAAAAUACGUGAAUUCUAAUGCUAUGUUAUGUUCUCGAAGCGUCUCUAUUUUUUGUGUAAAAAGUUAAUGUAAUAUGUAGUUUUGUAAAUUACAGGUACAGUGGGGAUACAUCACUUACAAUGAUUCAAGGUAAUGAGGUUAUGCCAAUGGAAAACAACAACCAGCUGGAGUUCAGCGUGAUAAGUGAUUGACUUUCCCCACUAAAAACAUUCAAGAAAUUCAAGCAUCAAGUCAGGUAAUGGCUUUAAAAAUCGUGCCUGAAAAAUUGAUAAUAUAAUGGUAACCUCCUAUAUGUUUCAGAGUAUAGUAUCAUGAAUCAAAAUCGUGCAUCAAAAUACUUUUCAUGUUCAACCAGAUCGUCCUCUUGGUCUUCUGCAUGUACCGAACUGAAAAACUAAAAAUAUUAGGAGAAAAAGGAGACAAAUCGAAAUCAACAGUACCUCAGAUUGUAAUGGCUGGCAAACAGAUUUCAAUCUCUUGCUUCGAGAUCGUUAUUGUUUUGUAGGAUAUGAAAUUUUGACCCAUCGCACCUCUGUUUCUCCCUUGAAUGGAAUCGUCGGGAGAGUUCCAGAAAAAAAUAUCAAGAGAAUUUUUUUAAAAAAAGGUUUACAUUUUGUUAUUUUUUGUUUAAACGGAAUGGUUACAAAGUCAAAUAUUAGUUUAUUGGACCGUAAUACAUGCAAACCCAACUUUAACCCACGAGGCUCAUUUGUGUAGAAUAUAUUUUUGUAUUUUCCACUAUCAAUUAAAAAACUCAGUUCUGUUAAAAGAUUAUAGGUUAGAUUUAAGAAUUUAACAAAGUAUUAUAACUACAAUUACUAAUAAAAAAACAAAUUACAUAACAAUUACUAAGAAUAAAAUUUUGUAAAUUAUGAGUACAAAUAAGUAUAUUAUAAACCAUAAAAAAUCAAAAAAAAAUUGUUAAUUGAUUAAAUUAUUUUAUAUUAAUUGCAUAAUCUUAUAAUAAAAAAAUUGACAGAAAUUUUAAAACGAAACAAAUCCCGCGCUUUGAAAGCGCGGGUCAAAAUCUAGUAUGCUUUUAAUAGGAAAACGAAAAAUUAUGUGUAUUCUUAUUUAAUUUGGCACUAGUGGGCGGGCUACACGUUUGUGGCCGCUUAAAUGUGAUUUGUAACUUUUAGAAUUACAGUUUUAUGAUGCAAUAUUUGUGAUCUUUUAAACAUUCUUUACUUUUCAGUUUAGUAGUAAAAGGGAAGGAGUUUUAAAAAAUCUACUUAUACUUGUUGGACAUAUUCAUUAACUAUUUGUUAUUUUUUUAUAUUUCCAUUAUUUUCUCUAACUAUACCAUAGUCUAAAUAAUUUAUUCUUUAUUAUGCUGAGAUUUGUCCUUAUUAUUCUGAGAUUUUGUAUGCCUUUUUUAUCAACCUGAGAGUUUAGUAUGUUUGGUCGGUUUAUAUGCCUUUCACCAACUGGAAUAUUUACCAUUUUUUCCAAAAAAAAAAUAUUUACCGCGUUUUGCCUUUUUAUUUAUUUUUAAAAUACCACAAGAAAAAGGCUAACCAAAUAAAUUUACUUUAUAAACUGAAAUAUGUGUUCGUAUUACAAUCUAUACGUGCAAAUUAACACGUUCGACUAACAUAUGAUUCUGGUUAAAUCACAAUCACGAUAUUUUGUGUAUGUUGCCGCGAUGAGCAAUAAUUUCGUAUUUCAUCAGUUUCAUUUGUAACAAAUAUUAUAAUUUGCUUCCUCAGAAUAAAAUUUUCUCACUAACAUUAAAAAUAAUAAUAAUUUGAACUAUAAAUACAUGUAAAAUCUGUACGUCAACAUAUAAAUCUUUUGGGCAUGUGAAUUUGAGGAUGUAGCUGGUUCCAGUUUCAAAAAUUAUUAGUCGACGAUAGGUGAGACUUGAGAUUACUUGGUUUAUCGGUCCGACUUCUGGUAAUCAUUUUAAAUAUAUAGUAAUAGAAAAGAAAAAAAUAAUUAUUAUAAAAUAUUGUUAUUUAAUAUAAGUUUAAGAACUAUAUUAUAAACUCUACAAAUCUGUACUAUUAAAUUAGCCAAAAAUACGUAAAUUAAUCUCAGGUCUCACCAAUUUAACAAAUGUAAUUAUUAUAAAUGCACACAAAUAAUAAUGAGAAAUACAAUAAGCAUGGCCAUAGAAUCUUCGGGUUGGUACAGAUCGGUUCAUUUCGAGUUUGAGUCCUUCAGAUUCUAGACAUUUGGACUUAAUUAGGUAUUUGAAAUUCUAAUGUUUGGGUUAAGGUUGGUCUUUUUUUUAUAGAUUUAUAUCCAUAAUUCAAAUACCUAUAAAAUAUCUGUAAUUUUGAAUACAUAAUAGGUCUGGAUCAGUUCGAAUAUUUAAGACUCGAAAAAGAUUUAAAAUAUCCAAAAAACUUAAAAUUACUCGAAAACCCAAAAAAUACCUGACAGAAAAACAUACCCGAAAACUCAAACGAAUACCCAAAAAUAUUUCAUAUCAUACAGUUCGUAAUAUAAUAAUGUACAACAAUCACAAAAUAUUAUUUCCUAUCAAAAUUUAUAUAUAAUCCAAAAUAAUCUGCGCUUUUGAAGCGCGGAUCAAAAUCUAGUUGAUGUUUAAAGUUAUAUCUAUUAAACAAAACAAAAGACAAAACGACACAGCUUCAGUUAUGGAUCAAAAGGAAAAGCCAAAGUGGACCAAGAAGAAAACAAGCCCAAACGAGAAGAGAAGACAGAAGAUAAAAGCCCACUUACCUGCGAUUUACCCGCAUAACGGUUAAAUUAAAAAGAGAAAGAUAAAAACAAAAAAGAAUGACUUAUAAAGUCGAGUUGCAUAAGCUUUAAUGGGGGUGAAAUUGUACAAUCAAUUUUCAACCCUUGAUUAUCUUGAAGACUGAGAUGGUGCUAUAUGUAUAUCAUACUAGGAUUUACUACUAAGCUUAUAAAUAGCUUCUCUUUGUAAUCACAAAACUUCAAGAUGAAUGAGAUGCAUUUUCAGUAAACAAAAGCUCUGUCUUCUUCAUUUAGACUUUCUUACAAAUCUCUUUAAUACAAUAUAUGUGUAUGCAAUAAAUAAUUCAUGCAUGUUGAUAUAUAGUAUUCAGAUGUUUGUAUCAUAUUCACUAUCCACUUAGUUUGAUGUUUACAUUUCUAUGAUUUCUCACAAAGAAGUGUUUUUUCUUAUUCGAAUAUUACGUGUUUUGUUAUACAUCUCGUAUGGCAUCUAGUAAAUCACGUAAAAUAUGAUAUUACAAAUUAUGAAAAAUUAAAUUAUGUUUAUAUCAUGUAUGUGUAUUAGUAUAAAGUUAAUUAAUAUGGUAUAUCAAAGUUAAAGUGAUUUCAUUUGUUAAUUUUUCUCACGAGUUAUACCGCCAUGGGCCAAUCUUAUCACACAAAUAACUAUGUCAUUACAAUCUAUAUUAUAAAUGUAGGAAAUGAUUAGAUUUCAAUUUACAUAUUUUAAAUUACAAAAUCAUAUACUCAACAAAACUUUAGAUAUGUUAUAUUACAAGUUAGUCCAUAAUAAGAAGGUUUAAAGCGGACAAUCACUUCCAAAAACGUAAGUACUUAACAUAUAUAUAAACGAUAUGUAAUAAGACAUAGCAUCACUGUUGAAUCCAUGUUGGAUCAAAUUCGAUUUUAGCACAUUUUCCUCGCUCUGUAUUCAAUAGACUACGCUAAAUACAUGUCAGUAAUAUUUAAAUGAUUUAAGAGUUCACCUUGCUAAAUGUAGUUUACUCGCCAGAAAUGCAAAGCUACGAAGGUUUUAUGGUACUUACUCAACCACCAAUUUUCAUAUCCAAUUCUCGAGCAUCCUGUCCAGGCUUCACAUACCAACUCACACCCACUGUAUAGUAUUGUUAGUGACAUACAUAUAAGAUGAAAGUUAAUUUUAAAAAGAAGUUUAUUUGAUGGUUAUGAGUUACUUAAAUUAAAAAUAGUAAUUACCUUUCAUCCACCAGCUUAAAAUUAGUUUUAGUCAAAGGUACACCAAAAAUAUCCUCAUAAAGAUCAUCCACAGACUGAGUUUAAGUUCCAAAUGUAGUAAUUCAUCCAAACAAUUCUACAAAAGUCGAUAAUUGUUAGGAUAUAAAUUAUGUUACUAAUAUAUAACUGUUGUAUAAUAAAAGCUGAGGUUUAGUUUAUAUUUAUUAUUCAAUAUAUUUGUGUAAAUGUGAUGUUGACAAGAGAGAAAAAGUAUUCGCUUUUGGGUUUGGUAUAAGAAGGUAAAAGAACGAGAGAGAGAGAUUUGAGGCUAAAGUGAAAGAGAGAGGGGAGGUGACAGCUUUUUCUUUUUAUUCAGAUAUGUUCUUGUUGUACAUCCAAAUAUAUGAGACACACACACUAUUUAUAGUGCAAAAGAGUCGGUCACUUAUACCGACUUCCAAGAAAGAGACAAAAUAAGAAAGGAUAAUAUUUAUCCAAAACAUCAAGUGGAUACUCAUAUCAUU
rnacentral:lncRNA from 1 species